rnacentral:rRNA from 1 species
AUUGAACGCUGGCGGAAUGCUUUACACAUGCAAGUCGAACGGCAGCACGGGGGCAACCCUGGUGGCGAGUGGCGAACGGGUGAGUAAUACAUCGGAACGUGCCCAGUCGUGGGGGCUAACGUAGCGACAGUUACGCUAAUACCGCAUACGAUCUACGGAUGAAAGCGGGGGACCGUAAGGCCUCGCGCGAUUGGAGCGGCCGAUGUCAGAUUAGGUAGUUGGUGAGGUAAAGGCUCACCAAGCCGACGAUCUGUAGCUGGUCUGAGAGGACGACCAGCCACACUGGGACUGAGACACGGCCCAGACUCCUACGGGAGGCAGCAGUGGGGAAUUUUGGACAAUGGGCGCAAGCCUGAUCCAGCCAUUCCGCGUGCAGGACGAAGGCCUUCGGGUUGUAAACUGCUUUUGUACGGAACGAAAAGGCUCUGGUUAAUACCUGGGGCUCAUGACGGUACCGUAAGAAUUAGCACCGGCUAACUACGUGCCAGCCGCCGCAGUAA